CAUCUUUCUUCUCUUCCCCAGGCCGAAGGGAAGAAUCCCUUUCUCCUCUCUUCUCAAGCCAGCCUACUCCCUCCUCCCUUCCUGCCCCACUCCUCCCUAGGUGCGUCCUUAAUGCACCAUGCCCUUCACCACCUCCAUGGUUGCCCUUUGAUUUAGGGCUUUGAGGAAGAAGGAAAGGAGACAAGAAGAGGGAGAACAAGAAAGCUUCCCCAACUUUUCCCUUCACCAAAUCUUUAUGAUUUGACCAUAGAGAGAUGUUGGCCUGAAAGCCGCAGUGACUUGGUGCUGCCUGGUGGCCAUGGCCGUGUGGGCGGCGUGGUAGCCAGGGUGUGGCGUUCGGUGGCGGUGAAUAUUGGUCGGGGUGAAAACCUAUUCUAUCUUCGGAUUGACCGGCGACGGCGAAGCUCGUUCCCUUCUUGAAGGCGUCGCCGCGACUCUCGCUGCCCAUCGUGUUGCUCCGGGGGAAACUCUGAUCCUUGGGUCAGGCGGUGGCGGCGCUUCGGUGUCGUAACCUUCCUGUAGGCACCGCCUUGGAGCCCACGGUGCGUCGUAUGUAGCUUCUUCUCUAGGCGGUGGCGUGUUCACGGUUGAGGCCCCAAGGGCUCUUGUAGUGCUAGGGGUGGUGUUGCUACGCUCAGCACCUAUGUAUCAUGCCUUGGGUAUGUGUGUGUGUUGUGGUGGCAUGUGUUGUACUGGGUUGUUGGUGAUCUUUGCUUUAUAUAUAAAGCGGGGCGAAAGCCUUUUUCGGUAAA